CAGGGAGAUGUCAGGAAGGAGUUGGGAACUGCAGCUUCUGAGAGUGGGCAUGAGGGUCUGGGCAGUCAGCUGGGGUGAAGGGGAGUGCCUGAGACCAGCCCAGAGACAUGAAACUCCAGCAGAAGUUUCUGCUUCUGUGCUGCUGGGCCCUGAUCACUUUGCCUUUCUCUGUUCAGUCCAGCCCAGCCACCUUGGCUUUUCUCCAUUUGGAGAUGUAUUUUAAAAACAUCUUCCUAUGCUGAGUUCAGAAACUUUUUAUCUAUUUUUUUGCUGUAAAGUUAGAAAGUCCAGGCAGGUCUAAUUGAAACCUGAGGCCAACCUGGGGUCCUGUCACACACUGUCAGGUCCUAAAGUUUUCAUGCAGUAAAAUCAGUAAAGGUGCUGACGUGAAUAAUUGAAUGAUGUGAGAAAGGCUAAUGCUAAGUAACCCAAAAUACAUCUCUUAUUAAAUGGGUUCCUGUUCUGGUUUUGAGACAGGUUUCAUAUUUUGGAAAGCUUUAGUUCAAAUCUAAACAGCCUGUGGUCAGUCUAUUGCUGCUUAAAGAAGAGAGAAAGGCCUCAUGGAGUUAUUGUAAAACUAAAUGAAAAUACUUUAUUUACUUCAGGAAGAGUUGGAGUUGAAAUGCUUCAACACUUUAUGAUUUUAGGGAAUUUCCAUUUACUUUAGAAUCAGAAAUCUUUGUGCUGUAUUUUAGCAUGCCAAUUUUCCUUCAAAUAUUUACAAUGCUCUCGAGAUAAGGUAAACUAGAGUAGUGUUGAAAACUAAACAAGGACAUCCAAACAAGUGUUUAGUAUGGUUCAUUGCUGCCUUUGUUCCAUAUUAUAUGAGCAAUAUUUUGACAUAUUGUAAAAUAAUAGUAGUUCAAAAUACUUAGCUAAAUAAUACAAUCUGUUAAUAUUUCUUAAUUCAUUGAUUUUGAUAACAAUACAAUUUUUUCUCUUCUGUCACAAAAGUAAUACCAACUUCUGUGUUAGCCUAGAGCACAGUGAUCUGGGGAGGGGCAGAGAGGGGAUGUUUGGAAGGAAAAUGUUCUGGUGCUCUCCAGCCUAUACCCCGUCCCCAAAGACCACACAUAUGAGGACACAGCUGAUGCAAUUGUGAGAAUAUUUGUAAUGGUUUUCUGCUCUCUAUGCUGAGGUGAUCUCAACACUGGAAAGACUUUUUUACUAAGUAGCAACUUGUAUAAUUUGUUUGAAUAAGUUGUGAAGUGUCAUGUUGGAUGGGAAAGGAUUUUGAUUCUUGUUUUACCACAUAAAUCCUUUUAUGAAGACCGGAAAAAAAUUGUUCGUAAUUCUAUUCCCUAAUAAAGUAUUCUUAAAUAAAAGCUAAUUAUAGUGAUUUUGGUCUCAAAUAUGCACACACAAGUAAGGUAAAUAUUGUUUUGGUAAGCAUAUCUGUCAAUGAAUGUGCAGGCCUGAGAAGGAUGUAGAUACUGGAGUUGAGCAAUCUAAACUGUAAAACUGUGUUCCUCCUGGAAAGUAGGCAUUUCUUGUUAAUGGAAAUUAUUGAAAUUUCUGAGUUACUGACAAAAUAAGAAAAGCAAACAUGUAAUUGGUCACAUUUUCUUUUUAAAAUAGCUAUUCUUUUACUCAUAUCCACAGAUCAAUGUGGAUCCAAAGAUACAGGAAAAGAUAACAGCUAUUGUACUUACAGCAGGAGGGUUCCUUCAAGCUCAUCCUUUUCACAAAGCAAGGAAGCAACAUUUUGUUACAUUUAUUAUACAUAUGACAUAUUCUUUAAAAUAUGAUGUUUGGAUAGCAUGUUGGAAGUCAUGCUAUAUAUUAAUAAAAAUUUUUGGAAAUGUUAUAAUGUUUGGGUAUGGGGAAAAAAGACUAAUUUAAUUCAAAGAUUUACAUAAAACAAUCCUAUUGUUGAUGUUUGAUCCCAGAUUUAACAUCAUUUGUCAUGGGAUACCGUUCAAAAUCUGUGUUUGUCUGUAUACCUGGAUGUUGGGGAUAAAAGAGGAACACUCUUAUCUGAGAUCUGUGAGUUAUGGUUUUUGCCCUGUAAGAUCACACUGACUGCUCAGUUAUUUUUUCUAAGCAUGUAAUGCUAUUUGACAAGUUUCACAGCUCUUUGAACCAUCACUCCAAACUCUUUAGGCCCCCACCCUGCACACAGGCUGAUCAGUGACAGCAGAAGUUGAGCCACUGCUGGGGGAGGAUACUGUGACUGCUGCCUUGUGACCAUUUCCAUCCCUGGCUUUGUGCUGACAUUGCUAUACAUUUUGAUAAUUUCAAGAUUGUUUAACUCACAACACAACUUCCAUCAGAAAUGUCUAGGUAAGGAACAACGCUAGAUUUCUGUGAGGGUAAAAUCCAGUCUGAGGUAGAAAAAUGCAUUCUGAAUGCUGCUGCUCUGCUGAGGGUUGGGUAGAUACAGAGCAGAAUGGAGAGUGCAUAGGUUGCCUAUAAUGCCAUAGAGGGCGUGUGAGAUGGACCCUGGGUGAACUGAGGAUCCAGGCAAAACUACAGAGCAUUUAGAUCAUGCUGUUCCCCUCUCCUGCUCUGGGGACAAAGCUUUCUGUAGAAGGAAUUUAAGAAGUUUGAGGGAAAGCAAAGGAAAGGAAUUAUCUUUGAUACUAUGUGGCUCCCAGCAGAUAAUUUAGCUUGAUUUGUUGGAAAGACCUACUUUUGGGAACCUUAAAGCUAUAAUCAGAGGAGCAUCUGAACGUUUCUAAUUUUUUUCUAUAGCUAGAAUGGAGAUUAAGCAUAUUACUCCAUUAUUAAAUUUAAAGCUUUGAACUGGUUUGAUGUAAAACCAAUUUAUAAAUGUCAACAGUAUUUCUAUAGUUGACUAAUACUAAAUUCAAGCUAGUUUGAAAAGAAUGUCAGCAUUUUCUUGUGGAAAUCAAUGGAAUUGAGCUUCUCUUUUAGUUUUGGUUUUCUCUGUCUGCAGAGACACUUAAAAAUUUCUAGAAAAAGAUACAUGGUGGUAAAUUUAUUAAAAAAAAAUGAAUGGAGAAAAACUUACUGAUGAGAAUUUUGAUCAUUAAGGCGAAUCUUUCUUAGUCAAUGUCUUAUUCUAUAAAGUGUUGUCUUUGCUGUGUUUUAUUGAAUCAUGGGGCAACCACCAUAUGUCCCUGAAUUUCAUACCCUUUAUAUAUCUAGAAUAAUCAUCCUCCCACCUACUGCCUAACAGUUUGCCAGAGAUGCUCUGCUUUAUGUAAAUAUAACACUUUUUAUUAUACUUCACUUUUAACGUAAAUAACGUUACUUGCUGUGUACUAGCGCAUACAGUCAGAUUGACAUUUUAUAGCCUGGAUGAAUAACUCAUACUAAUAACCCUACUAAAGACAGCAUCUGCUAUCCAUGUGAAUAACUUCUGUACAACUUGGCCAUUUUUCUAACACCUGUACAGUUAGCAUGGCAUAUGUCAGAGUACCAGGAGCUCAUAUUAGUAUUUUUUCAAAGACCGUAUUAGGACUAUGAACUUACAGACAUUUUCUGCUGAGCUAAUACAAAACAGAUCACCAUCUAUGUAUACAGAAUAGUACUAUAAGUCAGUCUGGAAGCUACCUAAGGAAUUUUGGUUUAGAUCUCUUUGUGCUGUUGUGGGGAUCAGUGAUUUUUGGGUUCAGAACCUGUCUCAGCUGAAGAUUAUUUUUUGAGAAUAUUUUUCAGGGAAACAAAAUGGGGUUUAUGCAUAGUUUCAUCAUUAGUGAAGUUGUUUGCAUAUUUAUCUGAAGCUGAAAGUUUCAGUAAUAUAGUCAAUCAGUGCUUAUAUGUUAAUUACAGAGGUGUGGGAAUACUAAAUUGGCUUAUCCACAAAUGUAAAAGGAUGAGACUGUAUAAUGGGCAUUCACUGGUACAACAGCAAGACAGUCUUAUGAAUUAAGAUCUCAAUUUCAAAGUAUUUAGAAAUUAAAUAGGUAUUCUCUUUUAUUUUUUCCCUGAAAAUAAUUGUCACAGGCAUUGCAAUUAUUUGUGUUUUCAUAAGAAAAGUAUUAAUUACUUAAAAGAACCUGCUGGUUCCUUACUAGACCUUUCUAGUUUACACAGUCUAUUACUCUAGAGGGUGAAAUCCAGAAGUCUGCACUCAGUAUUUAUGCAGUUUCAAUUGAAAUCAAAUCCCCAGCAGCUUCAGUAGAACUUUUACCUAAACCAAUUUCUGAAUAAGCACUUCAGAAUCUGGACCCUAGUGGAAAUGUGUAAUCUGAAUUUAAAAAGAAUUGCUCUGAGUUUACAGAAAGCUAUAACAUUCAGCAGCUGAAGAAAAGAAUUCACAGCAUCCUAGGUUUUAAAUUAUUAAUUCCUAUGAAUUUGUUAUCCUCUACUUUCCUUCAAAACUUUUUACUGCAAAAGAAAUUAUCCUUGUUGGUGUUGGGUUUCUGCCAAUGAGGCUUGCAGUGCUCUUCCCCAACAAGACGGGGUCUGGUUACUCUUUGCUAACCAGUCCCCUACUUCUGCCGCACAACCCCAGAGAACCCCAGGUCAGCUAUAAUUUCUUGAAUUAGAUGGAGGAUGAAGGACUCAUCCAGGAAUAAGGCCUUGUGUUUAUGAGUUAGCACAGAGCCAGAGCUCCUCUGUGCACCUCAGGUGAAGGCUCUGUUUGGACACAUUCAAACUUUGAAUAACCUACAUGAACAGUAAAAAUUACGAUGAAUAUUAUUGGACCACAUGACAGUGCUCCUGUAUUUGUUGUUGCCUGCAAUAUUUCAUGUCUAUUUAAAGGUAGUAUUCAAUGUUUGAUCUUAUCUAAGGCUAAGCAAGAAGGGAAUUGUGCAAUAUGCACUUUUUGUCAGCCUUCUUUACCUUCUGUGUUUUCCAUAUUUUCAAGCAGCAGUGAUUUAGCUAGAAAAAUAUUCCUUUGUGUGAAUUACUUUUUCCAGAGCAGUCUAAAAUGAGACCAGAUUAAUAUGGGAUUUCCUGGUUUUUUGAGUUUCUUUGGCUUUGACAGUAUUCAGUAUUGACAAUACAGCCCUUGUCCAGCUAGGUGACAGACUUAAUAUGGGUGACAUAUUUACAUAGAGCCCUCUCUGGGUCACCAAGUUACUGAUUUGUUAAAUUGAUGGUAUCCUAAGAAUACCUUUCCUUUCUUUACUGCUUUAUGGGAGCAUGUUCUCUCUCAGGAUAAUUGCCUCAUGAAGGUCCAGCCUUUUCCCAACGUUAGGGAACAGAAAUGGUCUAAGACAAAUCAAGUUAACAAAUAUCUCUGAUUUAUGUAGUAUGUUGGUUUCAUUCUCUAUAAGUUUCUAGCUAUAUCAGUGUUGGAACAAGGGAGUAGUAUAUUAUGUAAAUAAAAAAAUCAAAAUUAUCAAGGAAAAUUUUAUCUAAUCAAACAUUGUGGAAGAAACACUACUGUAUAUGGCAAUGCUCUCAUUUGCCUUUGCACAUACUUUGUUUUCAUUUUAUGUGACUUGGAGGACUGAGUUCUGCAUUCAUAUGGGCUGGAAUGGGUGAUAAAGUACAGUAAGGAAUACUAUCAGUAUUUGGCCUUUGCAAAUCAAAAUAUAUCUAUUUUGGUUAAGUGUGACUUGAUGUAUUUGUUUCCUACUUCUGUAAGUGUAACUCACCACACUCUUUUUUCAAUAGAACUCAUUCUCACAAAUUCUGAAUCCCACGUCCGAAAGACUUUGAUUUAAUAGGUUCAGAUUUUUUGGUUUAAAGAAACAAGUCUUGCAAAAAGUUGUUUUACAGGAACCUGGUAUAAUAAUAAAUGAAAACAUAGAUACAAUAGUAGGAUGAGCACAGCCUGUGCAUAUUUAAGGAUUUGGGUCUAAACCUGUUACUGGAGAUAACAAACUUCAAAGUGAGUGUGCUGUAUUAUCCUGCGAGCCAUAUGGUGCUAACAACUUUGCUGCUUGCAUCAGUCUACCACUCAGAUGACAAACAAGUAAAGAAAUGGAACUUGAUCAUUUGUGAAGUUAGUGAAAGGUCUGACGCUGAGUUUGAUCAGAAAAUAUAGGACCUUUGCUCUCUGCCUUUCCCUUCCUGAUACUUUAUACAAAACUUCUGUAUUUUGAAAAGUCUCAUACUUAGACUUAACAUCUUUGAAAAUGUAUAUAUAUUUAGAGAAGUAAGAAAUUAUAGACAUGUGAGAAUAUGGAUGAAAACCCCCUACAAAAUUAGAAUAGUCUCUGAGGGCAUGAGGGAAAAGGCCUUUAUUUCUAGCCAACAAUUAUAUUUUAUCUUAUGAUGUUCUUAGUAGUUCUUUCAAUCCCCUUGGUCUUAAAUGGUAUCAGUACUACAAUAUUCAGUCAUCCAAUACACAUUAGGAAGGUGAAAAAAAAUAACUGCCUUCUUCAUACAUCUUCUAAUAAACUUAAAUAUAGAAGUUUUCUCUGUUCCUUAGUACAAUUAAAACAGGGGAAUAUAUGUUUUCAAAAAAAAGUAAUUUUUCAGAAUCAGUUGUUGAAUUUAAUUUCGUCUUUCCUAUAGUCAGUGGAUAAAAUCAGAUUAGUCUGUGUGGGUUCAGCAGCAUAGGGAAUCCUCCAUAAGGACCCAAGCAGUUAAUGAGCAGUCACAGUUUCUUGUGCCAUUCCUUCUGAACACCAGUACAGAAUCUUUUUCUGUGCUGGAAACAGUUAAAAAAACCCCUUUGAAGUACAGAAGUGAAGCACAAGGACUGGAAAUUUACUGGUCAUUUUUUGUUAGCUAUUUCUCUGUAGUAUGAAACAACAUCAAUCACAUAAUGACCAAAAACUGCCUAGAGCCUAUCUGGUAGGCAGUAUAGUUGGUACAGAAUCCAAGGAGUUAGUAUUCUGAGGGAGAAUUUGAUCCAAAAUUGGAAGGUAUUGCAUGAAUUCUUAAAAUCAUACUUUUCUCUUGUUUUCUAUAGGUAGGCUGGGGAUAUUUUUAAAAUCCUCCCACCAACCUGCCAAAUCACAGGAUGGAGUUACUCAGUGUCUCCUUUCCAUUGAAUGCUUUGCUACAUGCAAACUUUCAUCUUCUGUCUCUGUACUUCUGUCUUCUGCUAGGCUUACUUUCAAAGGUAGACCAAAGAACAUGAUGGUACCAUUUAUCAGGAUGUUAUUGUUGUGCCCAUAAUCCUGACACAGGAAACUGGCCUGCCUGGUCAUCAGGUUAAAAGACUGGAGUGUACUGGAGUCAAGAAAGCUCAGUGUUGGUUGGAGGUGAAGUCACUAGCAUUACAGUUCUCCACCAGUCACAACUGAUAAGUUCAGAACCACAUCAGGUGCUCCCUUAAUACUUGAAGGGAACAAGCUGCACUGAAUGCCUGCCUGAAGGAUGGGCAGUGGCUGCACGUGCGGGUCAGCACCAACUGGCCAUGGAAAUGUAAAAUACCAGCCUGAGAGGUAUCUUGCUUCCCCUAAACAUGCGAUGGGAUUUGACAUCAGUGCUCUUUCUCCCUGCUGAUAUUGUGAUUAAACUGCCAGAUUUGAGCAGGGACCUCUUUAGGAGAUUUAACUUUGAAGCCUUUGUCCCUUUGAAUGUUAUUGUCUUCAGCAGCAAUUUUUAACUCCCAGCAUCCCCUUUCUACUGCAAAUAUGAAUGUAAGUCUCUACAUUAUUCAUUCUUUCUAAAGUGAGAAGGGAGAGUUGUAAACUGCUGAAUUACAACCUGCAGUUGCCAAGAGGCAGGAACAACUUAAGAGCAAUUUAAUUGUAGAUGUUUUCCUCCUUUCCCUUUUAACUCUUUCCUCAGGGAAGGAUAAAUGAUACAGGCAGUUGAAUAGUAAAGGAGCUGUUCUGAAGAUAGAGAAGGUCAGAAUGAACUUUGCAGCUAGUAAAACAAAAUACAGCCAGAGUAUCAGACCAUCUUUAGAAGAUCAGGAAUUUGAAAUUAGUUCAUUGAGUUACUCUGUUCAAGCUUGCUAGUGUGAUGGACUUUACUCACAAAAAAAAAAAAAAAAAAAAAAAAUUUCAGUUUAACAUUGGGAAGGAGUUAAAACAGUUGCAUAAUUAUUAGUGGGUGAGAUUCCAUCAAUGCUCUAUGCUACCCCAGCCAGCUCAAGACAGAAUUUUAUGAAGAAAGCAGAUCUGAGGUAAAGGGAAAAUGAAGCUGUCAGGGGGUCGUUGUAUAAUCAAAGUGUAUGCUCUCAGGCCAGUUGGUGAUGUCAUAGUUACACUUUUAGUGAUGUUUAUGCUUGUCUGAGAAUAUCAUCAUGGAAAGUAAAUGCUAUUCUGGAACAGCCUAAAGAGAAUGCUGAAUUGGUGCUCCUUCUCUUAGGUGCUUUUUUAAAAUAUAAUCCAU